GCUAAGACUGGAUAGGGUCCCCGAGGUGUAGGCUGCGGGGGGAAAACGGGCCUCUGAUGCAUGCUCGUGGGUACCGGGGAUGAGCUUGCGGCCCAUUAGCUAGUUGGUAGGGUAAAGGCUUACCAAGGCGACGAUGGGUAGCUGGUCUGAGAGGAUGAUCAGCCACACUGGCACUGAGACACGGGCCAGACUCCUACGGGAGGCAGCAGUGGGGAAUUUUGCGCAAUGGGCGAAAGCCUGACGCAGUAACGCCGCGUGGAGGAUGAAGGCCUUCGGGUUGUAAACUCCUGUCAGGGGGAACGACGGGGACCGGGGGACAACUGCGGUCCGCCAGACGGUACCUCCAAAGGAAGCCCCGGCUAAUUCCGUGCCAGCAGCCGCGGUAA
rnacentral:rRNA from 1 species